UGUGAACAUAGUUUAAACAAAACCCUAGCCUGUGGUUCUAGAAAAGGAGGCCAACACCCUCCUGUUCACC
rnacentral:tRNA from 1 species